UAUUUUUAUGAACAUACCUCGACACCCAAAAAAUUAUGGCCUCUUCAUUUUUAAUUUGACGUACUAUCGGUGUUUUUUAGAAGAGCAGAGCUAACUAAGCUAGUUAGGAGCUGUUUAUAAUUAGAAUUAGUGAAUAACAUACUUAACCAACCACACGAUGGAACCAAUUUAUCAGUGAAGUGGUGAUUUAUCUUAAAAACCUUUUUUGUUCGCCUAGGGCGCAGAGUUAAAGAUAAGCGCUUAUAUAUGCAACUUGACAAUGACAAUGUUUGCAGUGAAACAUCUCAGCCAAUAGCCGCAUUAAAAGGCAAACUGCACAAUUCAUAAUGAGGCAGAAAUGUUCAUUAUUCACAGGAGUGUCGCUGUUGGUUGUGAGUAUUCCAUCAUCAGCUAUUUGUCCGGAGCUGGCUACACAAUCCGGAGGCCACACUCUUCUGGCAUCUAACCGGCCUGCACACCGCCAUCAAAUGAAGUUGGUUGUACUGAAAUAAAGAAAAAAUAUUAACUAGUUUAAUGAUUGUCAAAUGUAAUAAAAUUGUUUUAUUUAAGUGGGUUGUUUGAUUUCCCUAAAUUAACACAUGAAAUAUGUUGAUAUGUUAUAAUAAAAAUCUCAGUUAAAAACUCA